rnacentral:rRNA from 1 species
UGGGGAAUUUUGGACAAUGGGCGAAAGCCUGAUCCAGCAAUGCCGCGUGUGUGAAGAAGGCCUUCGGGUUGUAAAGCACUUUUGUCCGGAAAGAAAUCCUUGGCUCUAAUACAGUCGGGGGAUGACGGUACCGGAAGAAUAAGCACCGGCUAACUACGUGCCAGCAGCCGCGGUAAUACGUAGGGUGCAAGCGUUAAUCGGAAUUACUGGGCGUAAGCGUGCGCAGGCGGUUUGCUAAGACCGAUGUGAAAUCCCCGGGCUCAACCUGGGAACUGCAUUGGUGACUGGCAGGCUAGAGUAUGGCAGAGGGGGGUAGAAUUCCACGUGUAGCAGUGAAAUGCGUAGAGAUGUGGAGGAAUACCGAUGGCGAAGGCAGCCCCCUGGGCCAAUACUGACGCUCAUGCACGAAAGCGUGGGGAGCAAAACAGGAUUAGAUACCCCUGGUAGUCCACGCCCUAAAACGAUGUCAACUAGUUGUUGGGGGAUUUCAUUUCCUUAGUAACGUAGCUAACGCGUGAAGUUGACCGCCUGGGGAGUACGGUCGCAAGAUUAAAACUCAAAUGAAUUGACGGGGUC